CUUUUCGAGGUCGGCCGCGUGGCUGGAAGACAUGGCCACUCCAGUCGGUGUUGAGCACGGCGAGCAGUCUCAGGCCUUUAGUGAUGAUGAGGCCUUUCUUUGUUUGGCAUCUGCAGAGACGGUGAAAAGCAGAGCUCCAGGUUGAAGGAUCAGAGUAAUAGAUGGAGCCCUUAACAUGAGUAAGAGUGGGUGCAGGCAGGGCCUGAGUGGUCACUAGAAAUGAGAAAGCACAGUUGGUGCCAUCACAUACAUUCACCUCCUGCUUUAUUCUGAAGUUCAAGUAUGAGAAUACGUGUUGACAUACAAGCCAGCUAUGAUUAAAGGUGGUGGCUGUGGCCUUGAAAACAGUCAUGUGAAAACUCAUCACCUUAAGGUGUUAAGUGUAAGGAUCUUCAUGAUGAAAUUUCUGUAAAUGGUGCAGUCAGCCUCAGUUUCCAAAGCCGGAAAAGGAUCCUCUAGUAGCCACGGUGUGGCAGCUGCUCUGAACCAGGACCUGGACCCGGACCCAAAGUGCCAUGUCUUUAAUGUUAGCUCCCAGCGAUGCCAGAUGGGAUCAGCACAGCCCUGCCUCUGCUGCUAAUUGUUCCUCUAAAGUAAUCGCCAUGCGUUCUUUGGGCUUCAUCUUUAAAGGAAUGAAGCAACUGAGAUUAUUCUGGAAAACCUUUUGGCAGUUAGUGAAAUUAGAGUACAACUAAGAACAUUUUCAGACCUCCACUGUGGAUGACCUGGGUAUAAUCUCACAAAUCGAUGGGACUGCAAGGAUUGUAAACUGAAAUGAACAUGAUUAUACUCUGUUGGAAGAGCCUAAGAGGAAACUGAUGCCAUGAGUUUCAGAGAGUAAUGCUUAACCCCAGUUACACAGGAUGCCGUCUUGUGUUUCCUCUUGUUUAGUUACCCACUACAGUGAUUUUGUGAUCUGCUAAUGGGUUGCCACCCACAACCAUUGCUUUAGCACUUUUACUUCAAAUCAAUGAAGGAUUGAUAAAAGUUCUCCUGGUGUCUCCGCAGAGUGCCUUCCAGGAACAGAUCUUUGCAUAGAAUAUCAGUGGUUUCCUUUUUUGUUUCAAAUAGUGGUCAGAAAAUACCCAGUGUUGACUCACCAAGGCAAUCAGCUUCCUUUUUCCCUUUUUUUGUUUUUUUUUUAACAUUUUAUAUUUUUGCUUUAUUUUAUUUUAUUUUAUUUUUUGAGACGGAGUUCCACUCUGUCGCCAGGCUGGAGUGAAGUGGUACAAUCUUGGCUCACUGCAACCUCCACCUCCCGGGUUCAAGCAAUUCUCCUGGCUCAGCCUCCUGAGUGCUGGGACUACAGGCGCGUACCUUCUUUAGUAGAGACUGGGUUUCACCAUGUUGGCCAGGAUGGUCUCUAUCUCCUGACCUUGUGAUCUGCCUGCCUCAGCUUCCCAAAGUGCUGAGAUGACAGGUGUGAGCCAUCAGACCCAGCAUUUUUUUUUUUAAUUUAAAUUUAAAUUUUUUUUCAUUUUUUUGAGAGGUUUUUUUUGUUUUGUUUUGUUGUUGUUGUUGUUGUUGUUUUUGAGACAGUCUUGCUCUGUCACCCAGGCUGGGAGUGCAGUGGCAUGAUCUCUGCAACCUCUACCUCCCAGGUUCAAGCAAUUCUUGUGCCUCAGCCUCCCAAGUAACUGGGACUACAGGUGCACGCUACCACACCUGGCUGAUUUUUUUUGUUUUAGUAGAGACAGGGUUUCAACCAUGUUGCCCAGGUUGGUCUCAAACUCCUGAGCUCAGGCAAUCCACCCGCCUUGGCCUCCCAAAGUGCUAGGAUUACAGGUGUGAGCCACCACACCCAGCUAUUUUUUCUUUCGUUUUUUAAUUUUAAAGUUGGGGGGGGGUCUCAAUUUGUUACCCUGGCUGGUCUCGAACUCCCGGACUUAAGCGAUCCUCUGGCUCCAAGCCCACUACCAGUCUCAGGUUUCUUUACUAAAAGAUCACUACCUUUUUUUCUCUUAUCUGCUGCCAUGUGAGAUGUGGCUUUCACCUUCCGCCAUGAUUGUGAGGCCUUCCCAGCCAUGUAGAACUGUAAGUCCAAUAAACCUCUUUUGUAAAUUAAAAAAAAAAAAUCACUAUUUAAGAUACUAGGAUGGAUUGUGACUGUUGAGGAGUACUUACAUAUCCUACAUUUGACUACAUUAUUUCCAAACCAAGUAUUCCAUCCAAAGGAACAUACUGCUAUCAUAGAGACCAAGGAGGGACUGUUUAAGGUUGCCAAGGUGAAGCGAGCUGAGAGGCUUUGUCCUCGUGCCAGUAACUCUGAAAUCUCUCUUAAUUCCUGCUGUCCAGGCAGCAGAAUGCCAUGGUUUCCCCAAGUAGGUAGCUGCUUUAGCAGUUAAAGCCCAAAUGUCUGUUCUGUUGAUCAGAGGUCUCUGAAUUUCUGAAGUGGUGUUUCGUUUCUGGUGACUGAGUUAAUCCUUUACAAUCCCUCUUGUAAAGUGUGCUAAUAGAAAGAAUCCACCUUUCAAAGCUGCAGAACCAGACCGUGCCCUAAAUUGACCAACGUAACUGAUGUGCCUCAGGAAGUCUCUUGCCAGCUGUCCCUGUGAAGACCCCCCUCCUCCCCCCCAGCUGCUGCCUUGCACACUGAAGCAUCUCAGACUGUGCAAAGCCGUGUAGUCAUCAAGACAGUAAAUCCCAGGGCUUGGUUAAGUGC
rnacentral:lncRNA from 1 species